rnacentral:tRNA from 1 species
GCGGCCAUGGCGAAAUUGGUAGACGCGCAACGUUGAGGUCGUUGUGGGGCAACCCAUGGAAGUUCGAGUCUUCUUGGCCGCACCA